rnacentral:rRNA from 1 species
ACGGAAGGCAGCAGUGGGGGAUAUUGCACAAUGGGGGGAACCCUGAUGCAGCGACGCCGCGUGAGUGAAGAAGUAUUUCGGUAUGUAAAGCUCUUUAAGCAGGGAAGACAAUGACGGUACCUGCAGAAUAAGCCCCGGCUAACUACGUGCCAGCAGCCGCGGUAAUACGUAGGGGGCAAGCGUUAUCCGGAUUUACUGGGUGUAAAGGGAGCGUAGACGGCAUAGCAAGUCUGAAGUGAAAUGUAGGGGCUCAACCCCUGAACUGCUUUGGAAACUGUUGAUCUUGAGUACCGGAGGGGCAGGCGGAAUUCCUGGUGUAGCGGUGAAAUGCGUAGAUAUCAGGAAGAACACCGGUGGCGAAGGCGGCCUGCUGGACGGUAACUGACGUUGAGGCUCGAAAGCGUGGGGAGCAAACAGGAUUAGAUACCCUGGUA